GACGAACGCUGGCGGCGUGCCUAAUACAUGCAAGUUGAGCGCUGAAGGUUGGUACUUGUACCAACUGGAUGAGCAGCGAACGGGUGAGUAACGCGUGGGGAAUCUGCCUUUGAGCGGGGGACAACAUUUGGAAACGAAUGCUAAUACCGCAUAAAAACUUUAAACACAAGUUUUAAGUUUGAAAGAUGCAAUUGCAUCACUCAAAGAUGAUCCCGCGUUGUAUUAGCUAGUUGGUGAGGUAAAGGCUCACCAAGGCGAUGAUACAUAGCCGACCUGAGAGGGUGAUCGGCCACAUUGGGACUGAGACACGGCCCAAACUCCUACGGGAGGCAGCAGUAGGGAAUCUUCGGCAAUAGACGAAUGUCUGACCGAGCAACGCCGCGUGAGUGAAGAAGGUUUUCGGAUCGUAAAACUCUGUUGGUAGAGAAGAACGUUGGUGAGAGUGGAAAGCUCAUCAAGUGACGGUAACUACCCAGAAAGGGACGGCUAACUACGUG
rnacentral:rRNA from 1 species